rnacentral:lncRNA from 1 species
CCCAUCCUGCAGUCAUCAAUCAAGACGAAAAAACAUCAUUGCAAUCGAGCGCGUAAGCAAUGGAGUACUCGUGAUUUGCAUCGA